UGGAAAUUAUUCUAUACAAAAUGAGACGUAUAUAUUUAAGUUUGCCUCAUUUAAUAUACCUCUAGAUGGGCACUGUUAGUUGCACGAAGAGGAUAACUGCCACAGGUUAAUAGAGUACCUGACGCGAGUGCAACUUUUUUCAAAAGAUCGAAAACUUGGAAACGGAUAUACUACAAUUCGGAAAAAAUAUUUCGAAUCCGACGAUCGAGGAUUCACAGCGUUCUCGUGAGGCGUUCGAUCCCAUCUCUAGUUAUGGAUGUUUAUAAAUAAAUUGACGCUGAACUUGGAGACGGAUCGCGAUGAGCUCGAGUCGCUGCCGGUGUUGGGGUGGGUCAGGGUGCGUGAUCGAUCGACUGACGCGGCGCGGUUUCAUGGUGGAAGGAAUCGUUGUAACGAACGGUGUGUACAUGGGUGUGAGUGGUGUUCAGAGUGGUGAACGAGAGACAGAGGGAGCGUGAAACAGAGAUACGUUAGGUUGGUUCUAGAAGGCGUGCAAAGGGGACAAAAUGUGAUAGCUGAGGUGAUAGAUCGCCAAGGUGGCUAAUUAAUCGUUGGUGCACCUUUGCACUCUACUGGCAGUGUUAAUUGUGAAGGACGACUGUCCCGAAGACUUCUUUGAAGACGUCCAUCUUGAUUGUUAAGAAUAUACAUAUAGAAAGUUAUAAAGUUUUCGAAAUUGUGUCUUUGUUACGAAGAAUGUUUUAUUACAAUAUUUAUAUGCGCCGGAGUUUACUGAUAAGAUUUGCAACAAAUUAGAUGGGAGAUUUAAGAGUCUGAAUUUUUUUUUCUUUUUGUAUGCAGUGACGAAAAAGAAUAUUAAGUGUUCUCGGUUUCUUUCUUUUUUUUUUUUUAAACCUAGACUGAUGGAAACUACGUGAUCGCUCCGAGCGUUCAAACAGAUCGUAUUUUAAUGAAUUGUAAAACAUAUUCACACCUGUCGAAGUUAAACUGUGAAAAGACGUAAGUAUGAAGUCACAUUCUUAACAACGUGAAACCAAAGAUACUUCUUUCUCCGUG